UCUCCGUUGGUGAACCAGCGGAGGGAUCAUUACCGAGUUUACAACUCCCAAACCCCAGUGUGAACGUUACCGAAACCGUUGCCUCGGCGGGGGAACCGCGCCCACCUCGCGUGGGCGACGCCCGCCGGAGGACCCAACCAAAAACCCUCUCUCUCGCGCGAGUCCCCCCAGCGGGACGACCGCACCCUUUCUCUGAAAACAAAACAUUCGGGCGCGCCCCCCAGCGGGCUGCCUCGAAAAUGAAUCAAAACUUUCAACAACGGAUCUCUUGGUUCUGGCAUCGAUGAAGAACGCAGCGAAAUGCGAUAAGUAAUGUGAAUUGCAGAAUUCAGUGAAUCAUCGAAUCUUUGAACGCACAUUGCGCCCGCCAGUAUUCUGGCGGGCAUGCCUGUCCGAGCGUCAUUUCAACCCUCGAACCCCUCCGGGGGGUCGGCGUUGGGGAUCGGCACGCCCUCACCCGGGUGGCCGGCCCCGAAAUACAGUGGCGGUCUCGCCGCGUCCUCCCCUGCGCAGUAGUUUGCACAGCUCGCACCGGGAGCGCGGCGCGUCCUCGUCCGUAAAACACCCAACCUCUGAAACGUUGACCUCGGAUCAGGUAGGAAUACCCGCUGAACUUAA
rnacentral:rRNA from 1 species